GUGGAUUCCCAGCCCCUUGUCUAGGGUGGAACCUCCCCGCCUGCCCUAGGGUGGAACCCCCCGCUGCCCUAGGCUGGAGCCCCGCCCCCUCACCCGCCCCCGCGGGGCCCAGGUGCACGCGUGGACCCCGAGCCCGGAGGUGAAGAGGGUCUGACCCUGCGAUCUCCCGCAGCUGCUACUCCACCGACACGCACUGGUUCUCUGGCCCGCGCUGUGAGGUGGCCGUCCACUGGAGGGCGCUGGUCGGGGGCCUGACGGCCGGCGCCGCGCUGCUGGUGCUGCUGCUGCUGGCGCUGGGCGUCCGGGCGGUGCGCUCCGGAUGGUGGUCCUGGGACCAGGACAGGAAAUGGUUCGAGACCUGCGAUGAGGAAGUCGUGGGCACUUUUUCAAACUGGGGUUUCGAGGACGACGGAACAGACAAGUAUACAAAUUUCCAUGUGGCCUUGGAGAACGUGGACACCACUAUGAAGGUGCACAUCAAGAGACCCGAGAUGACCUCCUCCUCAGUGUGAGCCCUGCGGGGCCCCUUCACCACCCCCUCCGCCCUGCCCCGGACACAAGGGUCUGCACUGCGUCCAUUUCAAGAGGUGGCCCCAGGACGCGGGCAGCCCAGGCUCCUGCUGUUCUUGGGCAAGAUGAAACUGUUCCCCCAAAUCCCAUCCUUCUCCUUCCAACUUGGCUGAAACCCACCUGGAGACGCAGUUCACGUCCAGGCUCUUCCACUGUGGAAUCUUGGGCAAGUCAGUAACGAGCCUCAGUUUCCUCACCUGCAAAACGGGUACAGCAUUCCUGUAUGAUAUCUCACGCCGUUGUUGUGUAAACCACAUAGACUUGGUCAAUUCUCGAUCCUACUCUGCCCUCCCGUCUCAGCCCUCGUGUUGCCAUUGCCUCUCUCGGAUCCUCCAAUCCUCACGUCCUUCACCUGGUCUCUGGCCCUGGUUCCUAUUUUCUCUCAAUUCCCUACUGCCUGUUUCUUACUUUGAACCUGGAGGCAGCCUGCAGCCCCAUCCCAUCUCCUGCCCUCUCCUGAUCUAACUCCCUGCUGCAUCUCUUGCUCUCAUUCCUUAGACGUCCUCCCCUUUUGACCCCGUUCCUU
rnacentral:sRNA from 1 species